rnacentral:rRNA from 1 species
ACUGGGGAACUGAACAUCUAAGUACCCAGAGGAAAAGAAAUCAACCGAGAUUCCCCUAGUAGCGGCGAGCGAACGGGGACCAGCCUAUCUAAUUCUAAAUAGUGGAAUGAUCUGGAAAGUUCAGCGAUACAGGGUGAUAGCCCCGUACACGAAAUGAUGAAUAUGAGAUAUCAAGUAGGGCGGAGCACGAGAAACUUUGUCUGAAGAUGGGGGGACCACCCUCCAAGGCUAAAUACUCUCUAUCGACCGAUAGUGAACCAGUACCGUGAGGGAAAGGCGAAAAGAACCCCGUUGAGGGGAGUGAAAUAGAACCUGAAACCGCGUACGUACAAGCAGUCGGAGCCCUUCGGGGUGACGGCGUACCUUUUGUAUAAUGGGUCAGCGACUUACUUCUCAGUAGCAAGCUUAACCGUAUAGGGGAGGCGUAGGGAAACCGAGUCUUAAUAGGGCGUUUAGUUGCUGGGAGUAGACCCGAAACCGAGUGAUCUAGCCAUGGGCAGGUUGAAGGUGCGGUAACACGCACUGGAGGACCGAACCCACUAAUGUUGAAAAAUUAGGGGAUGACCUGUGGUUAGGGGUGAAAGGCCAAUCAAACUCGGAGAUAGCUGGUUCUCCUCGAAAGCUAUUUAGGUAGCGCCUCGUGUAUCACCUAUGGGGGUAGAGCACUGUUUCGGCUAGGGGGUCAUCCCGACUUACCAAACCGAUGCA